rnacentral:rRNA from 1 species
CCUACGGGUGGCAGCAGUGAGGAAUAUUGGUCAAUGGACGAGAGUCUGAACCAGCCAAGUAGCGUGAAGGAUGACUGCCCUAUGGGUUGUAAACUUCUUUUAUAUGGGAAUAAAAUGUUCCACGUGUGGGAUUUUGUAUGUACCAUAUGAAUAAGGAUCGGCUAACUCCGUGCCAGCAGCCGCGGUAAUACGGAGGAUCCGAGCGUUAUCCGGAUUUAUUGGGUUUAAAGGGUGCGUAGGCGGAUCGUUAAGUCAGUGGUCAAAUUGAGGGGCUCAACCCCUUCCCGCCAUUGAAACUGGCGCUCUUGAGUGGAAGAGAAGUAUGCGGAAUGCGUGGUGUAGCGGUGAAAUGCAUAGAUAUCACGCAGAACUCCGAUUGCGAAGGCAGCAUACCGGCGCCCAACUGACGCUGAAGCACGAAAGCGUGGGUAUCGAACAGGAUUAGAUACCCCAGUAGUC